UAAAAGGCAUUUUUCAAUGCCACAAGAAUUGGUUUAUCAUUAACAU
rfam:Anolis carolinensis chromosome 2, whole genome shotgun sequence.